rnacentral:rRNA from 1 species
UAGGGAGGCAGCAGUGGGGAAUAUUGCACAAUGGGCGCAAGCCUGAUGCAGCCAUGCCGCGUGUAUGAAGAAGGCCUUCGGGUUGUAAAGUACUUUCAGUCGUGAGGAAGGCGGCGUCGUUAAUAGCGGCGUUGUUUGACGUUAGCGACAGAAGAAGCACCGGCUAACUCCGUGCCAGCAGCCGCGGUAAU